GCCUGGGUGGCUCAGUCAGUUGAGCAUCCGACUUCGGCUCAGGUCAUGAUCUCAUGGCUCGUGGGUUCAAGACCCACGUCGGGCU
rfam:Felis catus isolate Cinnamon breed Abyssinian chromosome D1, whole genome shotgun sequence.